AGAGUUUGAUCCUGGCUCAGGACGAACGCUGGCGGCGUGCCUAAUGCAUGCAAGUCGAGCGGGCUACGAUCUUCGGAUUGUAGCUUAGCGGCGAACGGGUGAGUAACACGUAGGUAAUCUACCCUUCAGAGGAGGACAACCUCAGGAAACUGAGGCUAAACCUUCAUACGUUCACUGGUAGGGAUACUGGUGAAGAAAGAGUUACCUUAGUGGUAGCUGCUGAAGGAUGAGCCUGCGGCCCAUCAGGUAGUUGGUGAGGUAACGGCUCACCAAGCCGAAGACGGGUAACCGGUCUGAGAGGAUGUCCGGUCACACUGGGACUGAGACACGGCCCAGACUCCUACGGGAGGCAGCAGCAGGGAAUCUUGGGCAAUGGGCGAAAGCCUGACCCAGCGACGCCGCGUGGAGGAAGAAGUCCUUCGGGGCGUAACUCCUGGACUGGGGGACGAGUAAGGACGGUACCCCAGUAGAAAGGGACGGCUAACUACGUGCCAGCAGCCGCGGUAAAACGUAGGUCCCGAGCGUUGUUCGGAUUCACUGGGUGUAAAGGGCGCGUAGGUGGUUGUCUGUGUCUCAUGUGAAAACUCAGGGCUCAACUCUGAGAUUGCGUGGGAAACUAGGCAGCUAGAGGACGGUAGAGGGGAGUGGAAUUCCCGGUGUAGCGGUAAAAUGCGUAGAUAUCGGGAGGAACACCGGUGGCGAAGGCGGCUCUCUGGGCCGAUCCUGACGCUGAGGCGCGAAAGCUAGGGGGAGCGAACCGGAUUAGAUACCCGGGUAGUCCUAGCCGUAAACGAUGGGUGCUAGGUGUUGGGGGGUAAAGACCCUUCAGUGCCGAACCCACGCGAUAAGCAUCCCACCUGGGGAGUACGGCCGCAAGGUUGAAACUCAAAUGAAUUGACGG
rnacentral:rRNA from 1 species